UGUCUUAAAGAUUAAGCCAUGCAAGUCUAAGUAUAAAUCUCUAUAUGAUGAAACUGCGAAUGGCUCAUUAAAACAGUUAUAAUUUCCUUGAAAAUGAAUUUCUACACGGAUAACCGUGGUAAUUCUGGAGCUAAUACGUGCCGCAUCUCCUUCCAGAGAGCACAUAUUAGGUUAAGAACCAAACUGUUUCACAGUUCUAUGUUGAUCCAUAAUAUUGUUGUGAAUCGCAAGUUUUACACUAGCGAUGAUUCAUCUAAAUUUCUGACCUAUCAGCUGUGGACGGUGGGGUAGUGGCCUACCGUGGCUAUGACGGGUAACGGGGAAUUAGGGUUUGAUUCCGGAGAGGGAGCCUGAGAAAUGGCUACCACAUCUAAGGAAGGCAGCAGGCGCGUAAAUUACCCAAUCCUGACACAGGGAGGUAGUGACAAGAAAUAUCAAUGCAAGGCACUUUUGUUUUGCAAUUGGAAUGAACAUAAUGUAAAUACUUAUUUGAGUAUCAAUUAGAGGGCAAGCCUGGUGCCAGCAGCCGCGGUAAUUCCAGCUCUAAUAGCGUAUAUUAAAGUUGUUGCAGUUGAAAAGCUCGUAGUUGACUUUUUGUUAAGGUCUUGUCAAGGCCAAAUUUUGGCUACAGAUAAGAUCUUAUCGUCCUGAUUCAACAUUGGCAACAAUGUGAACUGGGAACGUUACUUUGAAUAAAUUAGAGUGCUCCAAGCAGGCGUAUGUUUUGAAUAUUUCAUCAUGGAAUAACAUUGAUAAGUUGGGUUUCUUUGUUGGUUCUGAGAAAUUCAAUUAAUGAUUGAUAGGGGCAGUCGGGGGCAUCCGUAUUUGGUAGCUAGAGGUGAAAUUCUUAGAUUUACCAAAGACGAACCAUUGCGAAAGCAUUUGCCAAGGAUGUUUUCAUUAAUCAAGAACGAAAGUUAGGGGAUCGAAGACGAUCAGAUACCGUCGUAGUCUUAACUGUAAACUAUGCCGACUUGAGAUUGGAUGAUGCCAUAUUAGGCUCCUCCAGCACCAGAAGAGAAAUCGAAGUCUUUGGGUUCUGGGGGGAGUAUGGUCGCAAGGCUGAAACUUAAAGGAAUUGACGGAAGGGCACCACCAGCAGUGGAGCCUGCGGCUUAAUUUGACUCAACACGGGGAACCUCACCAGGUCCAGACAUAAGAAGGAUUGACAGAUUGAGAGCUCUUUCUUGAUUCUAUGGGUGGUGGUGCAUGGCCGUUCUUAGUUGGUGGAGUGAUUUGUCUGGUUAAUUCCGUUAACGAACGAGACUUUAACCUGCUAAAUAGACACCGGAAUAGUUAUUCCGGAUGCGCUUCUUAGAGGGACUUUGCGUGUUUAACGCAAGGAAGUUUAAGGCAAUAACAGGUCUGUGAUGCCCUUAGAUGUUCUGGGCUGCACGCGCGCUACACUAAUAUGGACAACAAGUCUUUCUGUCUUUAUCAAGAUAGGUAAACUUCAGAAUCCAUAUUGUGAUGGGAAUAGAUGAUUGCAAUUAUUCAUCUUGAACGAGGAAUUCCUAGUAAGCGCAAUUUAUUAAAUUGCGCUGAUUACGUCCCUGCCCUUUGUACACACCGCCCGUCGCCUCAAUCGACUGGAUGAUCCGGUGAAUUAUUCUGAUUGGCUGCAAGUGGGAACACUAUGCGGCCGAAAAGUUUUGUGAACCAAAUCAUCUGAA
rnacentral:rRNA from 1 species